UCAACCUAAACUCUGUCCACUAAUCACACUUAUAUCCAAUUAUACAUUUGACUCACACUUAACCUCAAUUAACCAUCACUUUAUCAAAGUAGAAAUUAAACACAAAGAGGAUUAGGUUUUACGUGAAUUUGGAACAUAUGAGAUCUCCUCUUCACUCUCAACACUCUCCGUGAACGGAAACGGCGCGGUGGCUCACACGUCUUCCGGCGAACAAAUCUCCUUUGUCAAUCAUAACGAUUCCCGUGCCAUCUCGGUCCUCUCAUCUUCCUCGCAACGAAAAAACAGCGGCGGAUCUUCCUCUUAAUCUUCUCCGAUCGAAACACCGCAACGACAUGGUGGAGGUCCUUCAUUAUCUCUGUUCGCCUCAAUCUCUCUUAACCGAUUCGAACUCGCCUCCCUCUCCUCAAUCAUCCGCGCGACCGGAGAAGUUUCCGGCGAUUCUUCGGCGACGAUGAAGAUGAACAGAAGUCCAGAGAAAUUCUUCAAUAUCUCAUAUUUUGUGAGAAGGAUGAUGACAGAUUUUUAGAUGUUCUUGCGAUGCAGUGACGACUGAAGGAUUCAAAGGAGAGAGUUCGAGGUUGCUAUGAGAAUGAGGAAGAAGAUUGUAGAAAUUGUAGAGUUUCUGUGAGAUUGAGGGAAAUCGAUGAUGAAGAUACAGAUGUGUUGUUGAUUACGUAGAGGUGUUGAUCGAAGGUGAUGAAGGUUCCAAAAUUUCUUGCAUCAAAUUGCAGAUAAUGAAGUUUGUGGAUAAUUGAUGGAGAUUGGUGCUGAACGAAAUUGAUGGUUCGGUGAUAUUCUGAAGGAUGGAGGAGAGUCUUUUGUUUUCCCAGAAUUGAAGAAUGAAGAGAGGUCAAGAUUGGAGAAUCUUGAUGAUUGAUGAUUGAAGGCGAUGAAGAUUGGGGAAGAAGAUUGAGAGAGAGGUCCUCAGAAAAGUUUGUUAUGGUUCUGUUAAGAUAUUUUUUACGUUAGUGAGCUUCCAAAUUCUGUUAUGCGAUUCUCAUAUCUCCCGAUCCCAAUUUUCUCUUACUGAACUUUUUCUGUUGAACCAAUUUUUUUUUGAUAUUUUUCCCUGUGAAUUCUGUUAUCGAUUUUCUGUUAUAUUGUGGCAGGCUUGUAUUGUGUCGAAAUUGCGAGUCUGAACCAGUUUUCUUUAUAUGAUUACGCAGGUGGACAUUGUGGCUGAGAACCAGUUCGAUUUAUGGUGUACCGCGAGCUGAUGGCUAUGUUUUGAUGGCGUGAGGUCUUUGCAACAAGUGUGGAAGCGGUGCCAAGUCGGUAGAGGCUUUCAUAUGCUGGUGUUGUUGACUUUGUAUUAUGCUGCAGGGGUUUGGAAAGCAUGAUGAAGAUGGAACAAGACUAAAGAUUAUAAACAAUAGAAAAUUAGUCUAGACUUAGGCAUCAAAACUUCUCCAUGUAAUUUAUGUCUUGUGAUGUAAUGAUAUGGUAAUGUAUUCUUUGGAUGGAAGUCGUAUGUAGUUGAUGAAACUUGUAAAUUCAUAAUGGAUAGACCUUUUACAAAA